UUUAUGGGUUAUGCAAUUGGAAUGACUACAAUUUAAAGAGUUUAAGAAGGAUCAAUUGGAGGGCAAGUCUGGUGCCAGCAGCCGCGGUAAUUCCAGCUCCAAUAGGAUAUAUCAAAGUUGUUGCAGUUAAAAAGCUCGUAGUUGAAUUUCUGGAAGGUAGAAGUGUUUUUUUAGAGAAGCAAUUUUUUAUGAAAGACGCCGCUUUCCAUUUUGUGGAUUUCUGUUUUGUAUGAGAUAGUUUACUCUAUUUUUAUAUAAAAUACCACUCCGUCACUGAGAGCAAAUUGGAGUGCUCAAAGCAGGCUUUAUUAGCUUUGAACAUUUUAGCUUGGAAUGACAAGAUAUGACUUUUGUUUUAUUUUGUUGGUUAUGAAAUAAAAGUAAUGAUUAACAGGAACAGUUGCGGGGGUACUCGUAUUGAAAGGUCAGAGGUGAAAUUCUUGGAUUCUUUCAAGACGAACGACUGCGAAAGCAUUUACCAAGGAUGUUUUCAUUAAUCAAGAACGAAAGCUCGGGGAUCGAAGAUGAUUAGAUACCAUCGUAGUCCGACGCCAUAAACGAUGCCGACUCGGGAUUAUUUUGUUUGUUUACAUUAAAGAAGAACACAAAGUAGCACCGUAUGAGAAAUCAAAGUCUUUGGGUUCCGGGGGGAGUAUGGUCGCAAGGCUGAAACUUAAAGGAAUUGACGGAAGGGCACACCAGAGGUGGAGCCUGCGGUUUAAUUUGACUCAACACGGGGAAACUUACCAGGUCCAGACAUGAUGAGGAUUGACAGUUUGAAAGCACUUUCUUGAUUUCAUGGGUGGUGGUGCAUGGCCGUUCUUAGUUGGUGGAGUGAUUUGUCUGGUUGAUUCCGAUAACGAACGAGACGGGGUGAAUUUACUAGUUUGUUAUAUAAUUUACGUUAUAUAAGACUUCUUUAUUCGACAACUUGGUUUUACCAAGAGGAAGCGCCCCGCAAUAACAGGUCUGUGAUGCCCUUAGAUGUUCUGGGCUACACGCGCGCUACAAUGACGAAUUCAACGAGUUUAAAAUUUAUUCCUUAUCCGGAAGGAUGUGGGUAAUCUUUUCAAUAUUCGUCGUGAUGGGGCUAGAUUUUUGCAAUUAUUAAUCUUCAACGAGGAAUCUCUAGUAUGUGCAAGUCAUCAGCUUGCGCAGAAUGCGUCCCUGCCCUUUGUACACACCGCCCGUCGCACCUACCGAUUGGACGAUCCGGCAAGAUGUUUGGAGUUGUUUUGAUUGUAGAGUAAUUUAUGAUGAAAAUGACAAAGCUCUU
rnacentral:rRNA from 1 species